rnacentral:rRNA from 1 species
UUACACAUGCAAGUCGAACGAUGAACUUGGAGCUUGCUCUGGGGGAUUAGUGGCGAACGGGUGAGUAACACGUGAGUAACCUGCCCUGGACUCUGGGAUAACUUCGAGAAAUCGGAGCUAAUACCGGAUAGGACCUUGCACCGCAUGGUGUGGGGUGGAAAGUUUUUCGGUUUGGGAUGGACUCGCGGCCUAUCAGCUUGUUGGUGAGGUAAUGGCUCACCAAGGCGUCGACGGGUAGCCGGCCUGAGAGGGUGACCGGCCACACUGGGACUGAGACACGGCCCAGACUCCUACGGGAGGCAGCAGUGGGGAAUAUUGCACAAUGGGCGCAAGCCUGAUGCAGCAACGCCGCGUGCGGGAUGACGGCCUUCGGGUUGUAAACCGCUUUUAGUAGGGAAGAAGCCUUCGGGUGACGGUACCUGCAGAAAAAGGACCGGCUAACUACGUGCCAGCAGCCGCGGUAAUACGUAGGGUCCGAGCGUUGUCCGGAAUUAUUGGGCGUAAAGAGCUCGUAGGCGGUUUGUCGCGUCUGCUGUGAAAACUAGAGGCUCAACCUCUAGCCUGCAGUGGGUACGGGCAGACUUGAGUGGUGUAGGGGAGACUGGAAUUCCUGGUGUAGCGGUGGAAUGCGCAGAUAUCAGGAGGAACACCGAUGGCGAAGGCAGGUCUCUGGGCACUUACUGACGCUGAGGAGCGAAAGCG